rnacentral:tRNA from 1 species
GCUCCUAUGGUGAAACGGAUAUCACGUUAGUCUUCGGAACUAAAGUUGGGGGUUCGAAUCCUCCUGGGAGCACCG